AGGGUGUUCUUUGAUGUAGGAUCUUCGUCUGCUUUCGAGCCUAAAUCAGCGGAACAGGCAGCAGCCAGCAUCCCCUAGUUAAGGACAUCCAGGAACUAACAAGCUACAAGGAUGCAGUAAAUCAAAGAUGAUGAUGUAUAUCUAGGCACACAUUGCUAACUUGGCAAAAUACAGUCCAUGUAUCCUACAGCUGAACUGUGCUCAUUGUAGUACUAAAAAUCACGCCUACAGGUCAAAAAGACCCCUGCCCAGGUCAAGACCCUUCUCCUGAGCAUGUGUAGAAGUUCACUGGGGUUAUGUAACUUGUAUGGAAAUUCCUAAUCAAUCAUAAUACAGGGGCUGUGCUUGGAAAGUUAGUAACUCUGGAUUUCUGCCUGUAAAUAAUAGUGUGAAAAGUCCAGUGGCCGUGCUUGAUUCAUGGAACACCACUGAGCACCCAGCCUUGUGCAGCUCUGAGAUAAAUAAUCAGCAUCUCUCUCUAGAGUGUCAUUAUUGGCUUGUUGCACACCUGGUUACAAAUCCGAUUUUGAGGGCAACAACCUCACAGCCCUGAGUCCUGACUGGUUAAGCAUCCGGAGCCAGAGUGAUGUACUGGGACGUAUGGUAAUGACAGGGCAGCCCAGGCUACACACAAGUCUUAGUGCUUUCCAUGUAAACAGAGGUGCUGUGGUUGUGAAAAGUAAAGAAACACAAAUCUUUGCCUUUCACAGUCAUGUCCUCUCUGUGAACACAGUGAAGUAUUGUUCAGUGUUUGUUGAGACUCAUUAGUCCAUCCCUUUUUAUCUGCAGAGCCCUCUGCUGUGACAGUUCUUAAGCACUGAUGUCCACUGCCUAUGAAAAUAUGUAGUGAACAGAUACUGGAGUCCAGGCCAGAAAGAAACUUCAUUUAAUGCUCCAAUCACAAAACCAGCUGAGCUGUAGCAGCAGAAAAGCACUUUGUCUAACCUAAGGCUUGUGUGUGUCCCAGCUGUCAAGAAAUAAAGAACUGAGAUGGAAACCCUCAUUAAUAUCCUUAUUAGACUUUGUAUUUGCUUGCUCUUUUUGUCUUCUUUAUCUAGAAUUCUCAGUUCCUAAGCCAAGCAUUAGGGCUUUCUACCAUUUCUUCUGUGGAGCAAAUGUCAUUUUUCCACCUUAGAGUCUCCACUUUAUAUCAAGUCUGCUGAAAACAUAUUGUUAUGUAUUAUUUCUUGGCAUAUUUCUUUUUCCUAUUACUUGUUUCUCCAACUGCAUUGUUUAACUGUCUGCACAGAGGGUACAGGAGCUAUUUCUGCAUUCCUGACUCGCCUGAAUUCCUGUUAAACACAAUGGAUGUUUUGAGUGUGCAAGGAUGGGGAUAAAAGUUGUGUUCUGCAUUCUGCUUUUCUAAAGUGGCAUCGCUUACAAUUAAAACUUCAAAGAGACAAGCAGCAAAUACAGCACAGGUAAUUAUAGGAUAUCUCUAUCAAAUACCAACACUAAAUAUAUCUUAGAUGAAAAUCUGGUAAACAGUUGAGCAAUUGGAGAGUUAUAAAGUGUUUUUCUCUAAAUAGACAUGUUGUGAAAAAAAAACACGUUCUAACUAGUAAUUUAUACCGUGGCUUCUCUUGAAUUUUAAUGAAUUUAUAUGCACAUAACCAUUUUUUUCCUGAGAAAAUAAAAUAUUCUGUGAUAAAGAGAGUAAGUUAAGAUUUGUUUUGUAGCUGAGAUUUUACUUACAAACCUCAUCUCUCCUAGAAAAAAAGACUGUGGUUCCCAUUUCUGAAGAAGACCAGAAAGCAAGUUUUCAGUCCUUAAGACUUCAUAAGACCUACUUAGAGGUCAUAAGUGAUUUCCUAAGUACAGUUAAACAAUUAACACUUUAACAGGUACAAUUUUCCUGUGUAGUUGUGUCCAUUAGUAUUUCUUUAUCUCUCUGUGUAAGUAGUUGUGCUGAACUGAAUGAUAUUUUGUUUAUAUAUGAAAUUAUUCACACAAGCAAAUGUCAAACUGAAUAAAAGCAAUGAAAACCAGUUUAAAUUAAAAAUAAAGGCUAUUUUUCUAUAUAUUUGG